rnacentral:rRNA from 1 species
AAAGGAAUAGACGGGGGCCCGCACAAGCAGCGGAGCGUGUGGUUUAAUUCGAUGAUACACGAAGAACCUUACCAGGGUUUGACAUACAGGUGGUAGAGAAGCGAAAGUGGAACGACCCUUCGGGGAGCCUGAACAGGUGCUGCAUGGCUGUCGUCAGCUCGUGUCGUGAGAUGUUCGGUUAAGUCCGCUAACGAGCGCAACCCUUGUUGUGUGUUACACGUAUCACACGAGACCGCCGGUAGAAAGCCGGAGGAAGGUAGGGAUGACGUCAAGUCAGCAUGGCCUAUAUAUCCUGGGCUACACACACGCUACAAUGAUCGAUACAAUGGGUAGCCAAGCCGCGAGGCGGAGCCAAUCCUAAAAAGUCGGUCUCAGUUCAGAUUGCAGGCUGCAACUCGCCUGCAUGAAGAUGGAGUUGCUAGUAACCGCAGGUCAGCGAUACUGCGGUGAAUACGUUCCCGGGCCUUGUACACACCGCCCGU